rnacentral:snoRNA from 1 species
GUCGACGUACUUCAUAGGAUCAUUUCCAUAGGUCGCGUCCCUCUUUGACUCUUCAAAAGAGCCACUGAAUCCAACUUGGUUGAUGAGUGAGAUUACCCUUAUACCCUCAAAGUGAGAUAAUAACAUGAAAUUUUUUGCUUGACCGUGAUUCUUUGCAAUCUGGCCAUCUACUUAUAAUGUUUUGCCUUUAACUUUUUUUUGAUGCUAACCUANUCAUAGGUGAUGCAUUUAAUAUUUAUAAAGGAGCGAUGAUCUUUACCCUUUUCAUUGUGCCUUCUAGGAGGAUUUUGAAUUGGGUGGGUAUAAGUGGCUGUCUGACANGU